AAUUGUUUCUUAACAUUAUAAAUGAAGGCUGCGUACGAUGACCGUCAACAUGGCCGUAAAAGCGACGAAAAACAAGCAGAUCAGAACAAUUGUGGAGAUUUCCAGAUCCUUGUCGGUGGGCUCGUGUGCCAUUGUGAAUAUAUGAUAUAGUUGAAUUUCACUUUUGGACUACGCGUUGUGCAUCUCUUUAAAGGUGAUGAGUAAAUAAAUCCGAUGGGUGUUUAUUGCGUACGCUUUAAAGCAUUCGGUUGGCUAACUUGGCAUUUAUCAGAUAAGAUAUGGCAAAGCCAACUAGAUGUUUGUGACGUCAAGGCUUUUAAGGAAUUGAUUAACCCAACACGCAGUAGACUAUAAAAUACUAAAGUGGAGUCUAAAUUUACAACUGCCAAUUACCUGAUCGAUUAUAAUAAGUAUAAAAAAGCAUUUCUUUUUUAAAGCAAGUGGCUCAGCCUGCCCGAGUGGAAUCGGGUUAAACCAAUAAAAGACUUGACCAUCUCGUAUCGCCA